rnacentral:rRNA from 1 species
AACGAACGCUGGCGGCAUGCCUAACACAUGCAAGUCGAGCGCCCGUAGCAAUACGGGAGCGGCGCACGGGUGAGUAACGCGUGGGAACCUGCCCAGAGGUUCGGGACAACCGCGGGAAACUGCGGCUGAUACCGGAUGAUACCUGAGGGUCAAAGAUUUAUCGCCUUCGGAGGGGCCCGCGUCAGAUUAGGUAGUUGGUGAGGUAACGGCUCACCAAGCCUGUGAUCUGUAACUGGUCUGAGAGGAUGACCAGUCACACUGGGACUGAGACACGGCCCAGACUCCUACGGGAGGCAGCAGUGGGGAGUAUUGGACAAUGGGGGCAACCCUGAUCCAGCAAUGCCGCGUGGGUGAUGAAGGCCUUCGGGUUGUAAAGCCCUUUCGGCGGGGACGAUGAUGACGGUACCCGCAGAAGAAGCCCCGGCUAACUUCGUGCCAGCCGCCGCCGUAA